AUUGAACGCUGGCGGCAUGCCUUACACAUGCAAGUCGAACGGUAACAGGUCUUCGGAUGCUGACGAGUGGCGAACGGGUGAGUAAUACAUCGGAACGUGCCUAGUAGUGGGGAUAACUACUCGAAAGAGUGGCUAAUACCGCAUGAGAUCUACGGAUGAAAGCAGGGGAUCGCAAGACCUUGUGCUACUAGAGCGGCCGAUGGCAGAUUAGGUAGUUGGUGGGAUAAAAGCUUACCAAGCCGACGAUCUGUAGCUGGUCUGAGAGGACGAUCAGCCACACUGGGACUGAGACACGGCCCAGACUCCCACGGGAGGCAGCAGUGGGGAAUUUUGGACAAUGGGCGAAAGCCUGAUCCAGCAAUGCCGCGUGCAGGAUGAAGGCCUUCGGGUUGUAAACUGCUUUUGUACGGAACGAAAAGCCCCGGGUUAAUACCCUGGGGUCAUGACGGUACCGUAAGAAUAAGCACCGGCUAACUACGUGCCAGCAGCCGCCGUAA
rnacentral:rRNA from 1 species